rnacentral:rRNA from 1 species
GUCCACGCCCUAAACGAUGGCAACUGGGUGUUGGGGAGCGAUUCCUCAGUACCGUAGCUAACGCGUGAAGUUGCCCGCCUGGGGAGUACGGCCGCAAGGUUAAACUCAAAGGAAUUGACGGGACCCGCACAAGCGGUGGAUGAUGUGGAUUAAUUCGAUGCAACGCGAACAACCUUACCUACCCUUGACAUGUCCGGAACCCCAUUGAGAGGUGGGGUGCCCGAAAGGGAAUCGGAACACAGGUGCUGCAUGGCUGUCGU